UGGCUGGAGAGGUUUGUAGUUGUAGAAGAGCUUUAUGACACGUCAUGUGUGGCUGGGACACCCAGGGAAGGGCUCGUUUGUGGCAGCUCCGUAAAGCCAAUGACUCAGCAGAUGGCAGGAGAGGAAAAGGGUCAUCCAGUGGCCAAACCAUGAAGGCCGGGAUUCUUGCAUUCGAGACCGUGAUGAAUUGAGCAUAGUAGUUUCAUCCCACGGCUAAUCAGCAAAACCCCCUCCUUGCUUGGGCACUUGGGGUGUGGAUUCUAAAGCAGAGUCUUCCAAAACUGGGACAAGCUGCCUGAAGCCAGUCCUGGCCUCAUCAACAGCGAUGAUGGCAGAAGCUCUUCCAAGCGGCAAGGCAUUUCCGGAGAGAGAUCCUCCAGUGUUCAGAACAGCUGCAGCGCCCCGAGGGCAGUCCGAUUCAGCGCCAAAAGUCUUGGUGGACAGCUCCCCACGCAAGGCCACCAGGCACAAAGCAAAAGCCCGUAAGCUGCCAAGCGAGUGAUGUAGUCUUCAGACGAAACCCGAGAUGAGCCCCCAAAUGAUACAGUCGAGGGGUCUUGAUCUGUUUGUUUCCUCUGUUGUUGAAGAAUUAAAAGGCGGGGAAACCUGGAGCUCGCCAGGCAGCAGCAGAGAAAUCUCAAGUGCCGCAGACAGAACCAGCGGUUGAAGGAAGGUGUUUAUCGGGGAAGCACACAAGCAGCAGACACACAGAGAAAAAGACCCUCUGUGAAGCAGAGCGGGGGAAUCGAGAGCCAAACAUCCGGCCUCUUCUGGAGGCUGGGGGUUUAAAGUCUCAAAAGAGUCUUCCUCCCCUAAGUUAGGGUUGGUCAGUCUGAAGAAAGCUAGGAUGACUGAUUGGUCCAGAACUGUUGUACAGCAUGUCCGGAGCAGGGUCUGAACUUGUCGCACCAGUCCGUCUGCAGGGCGCCCACUGCUAGGAGAGGAAAGCCAAGAAGGCCUUUGUUCUAAGUUGCCAAGCUUUUACCACAAUUCUGGAGAGUGAGGAAGAAGGCGGCCAUCUUAGAAAUUCACCACCUUUAUUAGCCAUGACCCCUCUCCGAGUAGGUCUUACCUACCAGGGAGUCUGUCCAAAUCUUCCUCUCUCACCAUGGCCUAAUGACUAGCUCCUAACUGCUUGAUUUAUUUAAAGAAGUAACAGCAAUGAAACAAACCACCCAA